UACGAAGGGGGCUAGCGUUGCUCGGAAUCACUGGGCGUAAAGCGCACGUAGGCGGAUCUUUAAGUCAGGGGUGAAAUCCCAGGGCUCAACCUUGGAACUGCCUUUGAUACUGGGGAUCUCGAGUCCGGAAGAGGUGAGUGGAACUGCGAGUGUAGAGGUGAAAUUCGUAGAUAUUCGCAAGAACACCAGUGGCGAAGGCGGCUCACUGGUCCGGUACUGACGCUGAGGUGCGAAAGCGUGGGGAGCAAACAGG
rnacentral:rRNA from 1 species